rnacentral:rRNA from 1 species
AUACGGAGGGUGCAAGCGUUGUCCGGAUUUAUUGGGUUUAAAGGGUGCGUAGGUGGCGUGUUAAGUCAGUGGUGAAAGGCUGCAGCUCAACUGUAGAGGUGCCAUUGAUACUGACAUGCUUGAGUAUGGACGAGGUAGGCGGAAUUUGUGGUGUAGCGGUGAAAUGCAUAGAUACCACAAAGAACACCGAUAGCGAAGGCAGCUUACUGGACCAUAACUGACACUGAGGCACGAAAGUGUGGGUAGCGAACAGGAUUAGAAACCCUAGUAGUCC